GGGCUAAGCAGCCCUGCAGAGCACCGGGCAGGGGAAUGGAUUCCCUGUCCUGUCCUAAGUACUCCAGGGAGAGGGAGCUGCUCUCUCUCUGCUCCCCCUCCCCAGAGACCCCCAGGAACCCCCCAAAACCUGGGCUGCUCUUCCCCCCUUUGAGCUGGGGGUGCUCCUCACUGCCUGAGCUGGAGGGGUGUGGAUAAACCCAAGAGGUGCCUACUUGGAAACCCAGAAUUGUUGAAGGCUCUUACCCCACCUCAGAAUUGUGAGGUCAGCCUGGGAAAAUCUUUUAUAACCCCUGGGAAGGGAAGAUGGAGCAGCCAGAAAUGAUCCCAAUUUACAUCAUCUUGCCAGUGCCUGUGUGAGCACUUGGGAGUUUCUUCACAGAUCCUUGUUGUUACUUUGAUGAUGAAAUCACCCAAACCUCAGCUUUGCUGAAACUAACCCUGACAAGCUUCAACAAACAAAGCCAAAGGGAGUUGAAGAUUGGAUAUCUGGGAUCUUAAAUUUAUGACCUUUCAAAAAUGUUGGAGUAAC